UUACCAGCUCUGAAGUUUUAUAAGCAGUCAUGCAACAUUUUUUGUCUUGCUUUUUAUGUACAUUCAAAUAUUCACUAGCAUUUAACCUAGACUUCAUAGAAGACUCCCUGCAGAAAAGUAACAGCAGAGACAAAAGUGAGAACUUACACUUUCUCAUCCUGCUUAUUUCAGUUAGGCAUUCUCAUUGUGAUAGUCUUACAGUGGUUCUUAAAAAAAAAAAAAAAGUGAGGUUUCUAAAUGUUUUCUUAAAAUUUGUAAAAAUAAAUACCAGCAUGUUAAAUAAAUAUAAAUAAUGUUUAAAUUCAUUUAAGGAUAUAUACACAGAAUUUCAGACCAGCUUAUGUAAAUCAGUGCUGAAAUAUUUAAAUUACAUCAGUUCAAUACCUAACUGAAAGCAAACUCAGUUGCAAUUUAUAUGAGUGAGAACUACGUUGUGUUCUAACUUUCAAGGAUUAGAAUUGCCCAACUUAACAUUAUGUAAUUUUUUGCACAUAAUAUAUUUCAUGAAUCAUUAACGUAGAAAACAGUAAUUGGGGGGGAGGAAUUUGAUUUCAAAUUUCACACUAUGGGUGUGUAAAAUUGGUUCUUUAUCUGAGACUAUGUUAGGACAUAUACAAAUUACCUCCAAAUACACAAGUAAUUCCAGCUGUGAUUAUAAUCCAUAAUCUUUAACAACUUGCAAAUCCUUUAAAAUAUCCGUUAUCAACAUGGGCUUUCAAAAUUGCAUUUAUACAUGAUAACUGCCUGGUUUAGCAGCAUAAUGAAAAAAUGUUUUAUGGUAUGAAGAACUUCUUUCUUAAUAUGAAGCCAUUAGAGUUCUGAGAAAUUACUGUGGGCUCUCAUUUUUUUAGAACUGACUGUUGGAAAUUUUUCCAGGUGUAUUUUCACUUUUAUCAUUGUUGAUUUUUGUGUUUGUUGCAUAUUUUCAUGGAGCUCUGUUUGUGUUUAUAUUUAUAUUGUAUGUUUAUUCUUUCCUUUAUGGAGACUAGCAGAUCUAAACUAUUGUGUGCCUUAAAAAUAAAAUAACUAGGAUGAUAAAAAGAAAAGUGGUUUCUUACUACAACUACGCUCUUCAUGUCUAGUCAAAGUACUGUCAGACAAUUAAUGAAGCUAGAGUACAUUGUCAACACCCCGUAAAUGUAAAUGUAUCUACCUCAGAGCUCUACUUACCAAGGUGCAUCUGAAGGAAAACAAACAAACAAACAAACAAAAAACCCACCAAAAAAACACCACCAAACAACCACCCUAUUCUGCUUUAGCAAAAGAUUGGCAUUUUAAGAGUACAAAAUUGAACUACAAAUUGCCAUGAUUUUUGGUUUCUUUUUUCCUCAUUUGAAACUUACCUAUUUAUCCAGAGAACUAAUUUAUAUAUAAUAUUUAUAUAAUAAUAUAGCUAAGUUUAUCUUUAUAUGUGGCUACUUUAAGAUUCUUGAAGACCAGAUUAUAUAUGUAUGUCCAUAUCUUUUAAUUAGGGUUGUUUUCACGCAGCUGUGAAAUCACGCAGAUUAUAUAUGUAUGUCCAUAUCUUUUAAUUAGGGUUGUUUUCACGCAGCUGUGUGAACAAACAAAUAACCCAACGAAAGUGAGAAGCAGGUGUUCGGGUCAGUAGUGGGACUUAGGCAUGGCAAUAAUGGCUGCUGUCACAUUGAAUCAUGGGCAUGGAAAUGCCCACAGUAACUCACAAACAGGUUUUUUGGCAUUUGACCUCCUAAUCACGCAGAAGAGCCAAGGGAUUCACAAGAGCCAAUGUGCUGAAGUGAAAGAUACCCUGAGGAAAUAGCUGAUGAAGAGGAAUUUUGGUUUAUGUUUCUGUGUUUGGAGGACUUACAUGUUUAAUGCACCACUGGACACAGAUGCUUAUUUGAAUUUGGGUUUCACAGGCCUUAACUUCUUCUAAAUUUAGAACCAAAAAUCUUAUGGUGACAAAUUAAUUUUUACCACUGUGCCAUUUCUACACUAAUUCAUAAUUCUUACCUGUAGUACAAUCUUUCUUAUAUUAGUUUUUGGAACAAAAUUUCUGCUGCAGAAAUGAUCUGAUCAUAUGUCAACUACAAGCUUCCUAAAGAAAAGAAACUUAGAAAAUGCAAAACAGUAGUGUUAAUUUUUCCCUGUAAGUAUCACAUGAAUUUUAUAUACUGUUAUUGCAAAUGAUGGUUUUCCACUGAAUAUCUUAUAAUUACCUUCUUUGUGAUCCUAAAUUUUAUUUUUAUUUUCAGAAUCUUUAUAACCUGUUGCAUGGCACCAACAUACCAGUUAUUUACAAGAGGAAUAUAUGAGUGAGGUCAAAUGCAGAUUUUUAGCUAUCACAUGUUUCAGGUCUAAAUUUCAGAACAUUAACCGGUUUUAGGCAAAAAAAUAUUUUUUGUACAUUAUAUAGCUAGCUACCUCUGAUUCUCACUCUAUAUUUUGUUGUUUUAUACUUAAUCAAAUGCCAUUUUAUUUUAGGGAUUUGGGGGGGUUCCUUGCCAAUGAAUAACCUAUGAUUUAAUUUAGUUCCCAUAUAGUUCUUAGGACUGUGCUGAUAUAUGAAUAUACAUAGGUUUCACAUAUGUAUGUCUUUAAAAGCUGCACAGUAAAUAGAGGUCACAGUUACAUUACUCAGUAUUACUCAUGAGUAGUUAAAAAGUAUUAUGUUUUUACGUUCAGCACCGAAGCACCCUAUUUUCAUAAAAUUUGCACGUUAUACUGCAGAAAUGUUUUACUGAAAAGACAUUUUGAUAACUGACCAUUUAAACCUUUGUAGACAUUUAAGCCAUAAUAAUUAUGAAAAAAGAAUGAGCAGUUGUUUUUUGGUUAAUGAAUUCAAGACUAAAAGGCCCAAAGGUCUCUGACAGUUGGCAAAUAUUCAGUCUGUCUCACUCCUAUCUUGUUGUCAGCAACAAAUACCCGGCCCAUGUAAAAUUGCCUAAACUAAGAUGUAACUAACAGUUGGAUAUAUGAAAACCAGAUGAUUCCUACAAUAUGUCUUGAAUUUGGGUAUAUAAUAAGUAACAUCAGUCUCAUCAUAAUAAAAAUAGUUUAGAAUUAAAGCUUACAAAAAUUUUGUAUUUCUUUAUGCCUCAGGAAACCAUUCCUUUCAAAAGAAACAUUUCUAUUAAAAAGCAAUUUAUGCGAUUUUUCAUCAUAAUAAAGUACACACUUAUCAAUCUAAGGAAAGCUGUGGGUUUUUAGAAGUAUAAACAUAGUAUUAAAUGACAUAAGGUAUUGUAAUUAUUUUUAAUUAUUAUGUCCAGAGCAGAUAAAUUUGUAGCUGCUACAACAUCUGUGUUUUUAAGCUCCUUAAUUUGAAUAAAUAAAUGAAGUAAAAUCCUCACCUGUCAGUUUGAAGUAUCAUGAGUCUGCUUUCAAAUGAAACAUUUGAACUGGGAAUAACAGAAAAGCAAGUAAGGAAAAAAGCCUAUUAAAAACAACAAUGAAAAACAUCCUGAAAUACUCCAGUGAGUGGAUAAGGAUUUUAUCUAUAUGUCCCAGGGUACAUUUUCACUGUUCAGAUGCAUAAGGUGUAGCAUACCAUUUUGUUCAUUUUCUAUACCUGACAUGCCCUGGCAACACCAAGCACUUAGACAUUGCCUCCUAUUACUAUACAUAUGGUCCGCUUUUUCUUGCAGAGAUGACAAUUACAGAAAUGAUGCUAAAAAAGCACACCUUAAUAAUGAUGAAGCACAAAAUAUACCCAAAGUGUUUAUAGUUGGACAUUAGAAAAGCAGAAGUGAAGCUUAUCUCAUUUUCACGCACUGAUUCACCUGGUAUGGAUGCUGAGAGGCAAAUUGUACACUGGAGUGCAGGAAAAUGCUAUUUCUUAUCGUUUCAGAUUUUUCUUGGUGAUUUUCCAUUCUUCAGAGAUAGGGACCUCAGUCUCCUGAUCACUUGUAUUAAGUCAAUAGCUCCCUUCUGCCUUCUUCAAGAUUUCUCACUAGAAUCUGCUCCAGAGAAACAUUAUGGAUAAGCACAGCAUAAAAUUGUUCAGGUUCCUUCUGCCUGGAAUAGCCUUCCAGCAGUAAGUUCAACAAACCUCCGUAUUAACACAUCGCUGCAGCCUCCCUGACUACUACACACUUGUAUGCAGAAGUGAAGCAGGUACUUGUACACUCAGGCUAUGAAAGCACCAGGGUUCAAGCUGUGGCACAGCCCCAUCAUUUGGCAACCUUUGAACUGAAAAAGAAAAAACCUUACUCUGAGAAAAUGCAGUGUCCAAGAGCCAGAAAGGCCUCACAGAAGUCCUAGUCCAAGAAUUAUGAAAUCUGGCUGGCAACAGACUGUGAGCACAGGCCAGUUGGCCUGAAGACUGCCCUUCUCUCUCAAAAGCAUUAUCAAAGGAUAAUCACAGCAUAUUGCGAUUCACCUUGAAAAUGAAUUAGUCACCCCAGGCAGUGUUUAUCAGUUUGUGGCCUCUUUGCCAAUCAUGAAUGGUAGAUAUGCAGCUCCUUAGACCAUACUACCAUUCCUCUAUUCUUACAGAUGUUAAGUCAGAUUAAAAACCAGAAGGAAAUACAUCAAAUAUUUUUCUAGAGCUACACAAGGGGGCAAGAAUUUCGCAUACCCUCCCUAUGCACUCAGACUAGGGAGAAAAUUUGUGAUCCCCAGUUAAAAUGCCAGCACAAUUAAGUCCAUAGCUGCUAAAUGACGAAGUAGGAUUCAUCCAGCAAAUAUGCUUGUUCAUUGUGGAAGGACACAACACAGCUUGAUAUACCACUGAAUAGUCAUUCCUUCGGAUGCAGCUCCUGGGAGACAGAUGCACAUUCAGAAAAAAGCAGCCAAAACCCACUGCCACCCCCCAAAAACAACUGGGACAUCUGGACUAAGUGUUUUGUUUUGGAAAAGAAAACACAUUGAAGAUGACUGACCUUAUUUUAGAGAAUGCAACUAACUGGGUUUUGGUUUUGAGAUGAAGAGAUGCAGUACAAAAAUGGACACGCAGUUUCUCAGUUGGUACCAAACAAACAGCCUUCAGAUGCAGGGAAAUAUUUCUGCAGGAAAUUGAAAUAUAUUGGUUCUCUGUACAUUUUGAUAGAAGAUUUGGAUAACUACAACAAUUCAUUCAGAAUGCAAAUGUCAUUAAUGUAGUAUCCUCAUGCUGAAGAGUGAACAACAGAUAUGUCACAUCUUUAGAUAACUGAAUGACAGAAGGUGCUGUGAGAAAGGAGUGCGAGUAAAAGAUGAUGUAAUUAGUCAGUAAUAAUGUAAAUAGCAAAAAAUUUUAAUCUCUUUUCAUGUGUGCAUUCUUCACCAUAGUUCUGAAAGGAUACUUAUUUAAUUUAACAUACUGUUAUUACAAAGACAUUGUAUGUAGCCCAAGUAUAUAGAGCUACAAAGAUUAAAAAACAGGCAUUUUUCACAGUAACACUUCGAACAUUUUCAAUGUUAAAAUAAUGUAUCUCCCUGUUUUUCCAUAAAAGUAAACAGUUUACAUAAAACAGGUUUGCUAAUGCAUUGCAUGGACCCAUUUUUAAUACAUAACUCUGUGUGAUCUGUGUGUGUGUGUUGUUCAACUUAAGAUGUGAAGAAGUAUUUUUCAUGUGGGACAACCUGCCUGUUUUUCUGUGUGGUAGCAGAGCAAUGAUCAUGGAAAAAAUUGAUGCAGAGACUCAGCCAAGCUGUUAUACAAAUACAGUUCAUUUAUAUAAUAGCAGAGCUAACUAGAAAAUACAAAGACAAGGGAAAUAUUUGUUGAAGUAACAUAGAAAAACAACUCACCAAUCCUUCAGCUUAUUACACUGAUGCAACUCUUCCAAAAAUCUGUGGGGUUCUACCAGCUUAAUAAAAAUGAAAAUGUCAUUCAUUAUAAGCAAAAUCUGUUUAGAUUUUGGCAGAUCUUGGAGGGACAAAAUUCCCUAUGGAUUUUUAUUAUUAUUAUUAGUGAAGAUACUACACAGUGUUGUCCAAAUAGAAUAAAAAAUACCCAGCUUUUUUUUUUUUCUUUUAAUAAAGUUUCACACUUAAAUUAACAAAAUGAAAACCUCACAGAAUAACAGAAAUAAAAUAACAUUACUGCUGCUGUCUAUAGAAGGCUUUCAAUAGGACAUGUUGAUCAAUAAGCCUACAAUAGGUCGUGAACAUAGUAUUUAGGAAAUGAAAAUACAUUAUGAAAUUAGGCAAUUAAAUAAUUUGCUUGAUAUUAAGACAGAAAUAAAGAAUAAACAGACAAGGUUUCUCUAAACCCAAGAAAAAAUGUCCAGAAUAUGUAUCUACAUCUAUACAGAUACAUUUACAGAUAUAAGAUUUAUUUUUAUUAGGUAUCAAGAUGUACUGGAAGAAAACAUCUGGAAUACUUACAGAGCACAGAGGAAAUAUCUAACAGCCUAAUGAUUCCUAUUUAUUGAAAACAGAAAGAUCUUUUUUGUCAUACCUUUUCUAGAGACUGAACCAAGUAAAAUACUUGUACCAUUGAAAACUGAGACUGCUUACUCCUUCUUAACAGAAUGCAAACUACUGCCAUGGGUGAGAAAGAUGGUGCACUUGAACUUUUGGGUAACAGGUGGCAUGGCAAAACUUCAGGAAGACAAAUAUCUAGGAGGCAUCUAGCAAAAAAAAAAAAAAGAGAGCAUAGUGUGUAUAGUGUACAUAGAAAUUGCUUAUACAGCAGGUGCAUUCCAUUUGUAGACUGGGGAAAUGCAGAUACCACUGUGCCUUAUCAAGGUUAAAUGCUUUAAUUCUUCUCUCCCUUGCAUGCAUUUUACAUUUCUGUGGUUUGUUUUGUUUCUGUAUAGUUUUUCAAUUUAUAUAUAUGUAAAAAACAAAACAAAACAAAACAGACCUAUUUUUUCUCUAUAGUUGGAUAUGGAGAAACUCAGUUUAUACUUUGUCUUAAGGACACUGAUUCUGUCAUCAAGCUAAACAGAAAAAUGGGCUAAAAUUGGUUACUUUGAGUUUCAUGCUUAGAGAAUUUCAACUGCGGGGCACUUCCUGGGAAUUACUUAUUAGAGAGGUCUGAGACAUUAUACUUGUCUACCCAAACCAUCUCAGCAUCUCAUAGCUUCUCAAUGUCACCUGCCUCCUCAAACACAAAAUGCAUGGGGCUAGUUGUGAAAACUGCUGCAGUAAGGUUUGAUCCUACUCCCAUUUCAAAAACAGUGUGAAAAAUAAGUAGGACUAUUUUAUUGUACAGUAUUAUGGUAGCUGGCAACCUGAGUUGUGCUAUGAUCUAGUGACACUUAAUAGCCUUUCAUACUCUGCACGUAUAGCUAAUCCUGGAAACCACGUGAGAUGUGACUACAAAGACUGAACAGCCUGUGCACUUGGCAUUGCUUCUACCCUAUUUUUUCACACUCUAUUUCUCAUUGAGAAAACAAACAAACAAGCAAACAAGAAUUUUCAGUCUGUAACAUAAUAGAAAUGCUUGUACAAGCUCAAGCAGCUAGAUAAGCUGAUUAUUUUGUUCAAGUGUCAGCUUGUUUUCAGCUGCUGUCAAACAUUUUGUCACACUAGAUGCCCAUUAUAUCUGUUACAUGGUGAAAUGUUUCAGUACAUAAAAAACAAGGUGCAUGAUUUUCUCUUAUCUUUGGAAUCACAAAAGACCUUUUCAUGAUAGCUGUGUUUGCUACACCCCCUGCAGUUCACUUCAAAGUUCCUCUUAUAAUAUUUUUUCUCAUGCUCAUGUAUAUACUUUUCAAAGUUACCACAUCUCUAACAAAGCCAUGUUGUUUUCUUUGCUCACUUUUGCUUUCCAUUUUGCUAAAUAAAUCUACUCCAAUGGCUAAAAAUUUGCAAUGUACUUUAUGUUGUAUACUGGUGACGCAAAGAAAACCUACUCCUUUUAUUAACUUUUUGUGUAUUUCAUUGCCUUUUAAGAUGCCUGUCUCGAGAAGCUUGCUUAAAUAUAAGUACUGGUUGCAAGUGUGCUGAUCACCUAAACAGCAACACUACUUGCUUCACAAAGGACUCUUUUACUCUAGUUCAUGGCAAAAUCAUUUUCUUCCAGAUUCUCCCUUCUUUCCACCCCUUAAUGUCCAAUUUUUUUCUCCCUGUUUCCUUAUGACAACAUGAAA